ACAUGCAAGUCGAGGGGCAGCAUGGUCUUAGCUUGCUAAGGCUGAUGGCGACCGGCGCACGGGUGAGUAACACGUAUCCAACCUGCCGUCUACUCUUGGCCAGCCUUCUGAAAGGAAGAUUAAUCCAGGAUGGGAUCAUGAGUUCACAUGUCCGCAUGAUUAAAGGUAUUUUCCGGUAGACGAUGGGGAUGCGUUCCAUUAGAUAGUAGGCGGGGUAACGGCCCACCUAGUCAACGAUGGAUAGGGGUUCUGANAGGAAGGUCCCCCACAUUGGAACUGAGACACGGUCCAAACUCCUACGGGAGGCAGCANUGANGAAUAUUGGUCANUGGGCGAUGGCCUGAACCNGCCNAGUUCCGUGUAGGAUGACUGCCCUAUGGGUUGUAAACUUCUUUUAUAAAGGAAU
rnacentral:rRNA from 1 species